UACGUAGGGUGCAAGCGUUAAUCGGAAUUACUGGGCGUAAAGCGUGCGCAGGCGGUUGUGUAAGACAGAUGUGAAAUCCCCGGGCUCAACCUGGGAACUGCAUUUGUGACUGCACAGCUGGAGUGCGGCAGAGGGGGAUGGAAUUCCGCGUGUAGCAGUGAAAUGCGUAGAUAUGCGGAGGAACACCGAUGGCGAAGGCAAUCCCCUGGGCCUUACCUGACGCUGAGGAGCGAAAGCGUGGGGAGCGAACAGG
rnacentral:rRNA from 1 species